CGGCCUUCCGCAUUGGUCGCGGUGACUCUGGAUAACUGUCAGUACGAUCGCACGGGCUAGUAUCGCACUAGCCUUCGCGCGACGGGUCCCCCGCGAGUCCGCCCUAUCAACUGUCGACGGCCCGGUCAGUGCCGACCGUGGUGGCCGACAGUGCCGUCGCAGGCGCGCUUCUGGCGCGUCCGCUUCGGUCGUCCGUUCGCACUCCCGGCCCUAUUCGCUGGUGCGUGCGCGGUCGGGCCGCGGAGCUCUGCUCGCGUCGCCGCCGCGACUCGGCACCCCGUCCAGCGCUCGUCUUCGUCCGCGCCGCGUCGUCUACGUCGGACGGUCGCGUUCGACGUCGGGGUGUCGCGCGCGUUUGCAACGAUGAAAAACCGCCACUUCCGUAGUUUCCUCGCUCACUCGAUGGAGAAGGGAUCGGGCCGUCGCCGAGCGGUG